rnacentral:rRNA from 1 species
CCUUUGACGUUAGCGGCGGACGGGUGAGUAACACGUGGGUAACCUACCUAUAAGACUGGGAUAACUUCGGGAAACCGGAGCUAAUACCGGAUAAUAUUUCGAACCGCAUGGUUCGAUAGUGAAAGAUGGUUUUGCUAUCACUUAUAGAUGGACCCGCGCCGUAUUAGCUAGUUGGUAAGGUAACGGCUUACCAAGGCGACGAUACGUAGCCGACCUGAGAGGGUGAUCGGCCACACUGUAACUGAGACACGGUCCAGACUCCUACGGGAGGCAGCAGCU